CAGCCGUAAACUAUGCGCGUUAGGUGUAUCGGUGACCACGAGUUACCGAGGUGCCGAAGGGAAACCGUGAAACGUGCCGCCUGGGAAGUACGGUCGCAAGGCUGAAACUUAAAGGAAUUGGCGGGGGAGCACCACAACAGGUGGAGCCUGCGGUUUAAUUGGACUCAACGCCGGGAAGCUCACCGGAUAGGACAGCAGAAUGAUUGCCGGGCUGAAGACCCUGCAUGACUAGCUGAGAGGUGGUGCAUGGCGGUCAGUGACU
rnacentral:rRNA from 1 species